rnacentral:rRNA from 1 species
ACAGGAUCAUGGCUCAGAAUCAACGCUGGCGGCGUUCUAACACAUGCAAGUCGAACGCGAAAGGGGCUUCGGCCCCGAGUAGAGUGGCAACGGGUGAGUAACACGUGGGUGACCUACCUUCGAGUGGGGGAUAACGUCCCGAAAGUGCUAAUACCGCAUCACAUCCUGCCUUUGAAGAGGUGGAGAUCAAAGCCGGGGAUCGCAAGACCUGGCGCUUGAAGAGGGGCCCGCGUCCGAUUAGCUAGUUGGUGAGGUAAUGGCUCACCAAGGCGACGAUCGGGAGGCCGGCCUGAGAGGGCGGACGGCCACACGGGACUGAGACACGGCCCUAUCUCCUACGGGAGGCAGCAGUGGGGAAUUGUUCGCAAUGGGCGCAUCCUGACGACGCAACGCCGCGUGGAGGAUGAAGGUCUUCGGAUUGUAAACUCCUGUUGCCCGGGACAAAUGGCUCUAUCCAACACGUUCAAGUGUGACGGUACCGGGUGAGGAAGCCCCGGCUAAUCUGUGCCAGCAGCCGCGGUAACUAGAUAGGGCAAGCGUUGUUCGGAUCACUGGGCGUAAAGGGCGCGUAGGCGGCCUGCUACACGAACGUGAAAUCCCCGGGCUCAACCCGGGAACUGCUAUCGAGACUGGCAGGCUCGAAUCGGGAGAGGGAUGUGGAAUUCCCCGUAGCGGUGAAAUGCGUAGAUAUCUGGAGGAACAUCGGUGGCGAAGGCGGCAUCCUGGACAUAUUGACGCUGAGGCGCAAAGCCAGGGGAGCAAACGGGAUUAGAUACCCCGGUAGUCCUGGCUAAACGAUCAGCUUGUAUGUGGCGGGUAUCGAUCCCUACGUGCCGAAGCUAACGCAUUAAGCAUUCCGCCUACGAGUACGGUCGCAAGGCUGAAACUUAGGAAUUGACGGGGGCCCGUACAGCGGUGGAGCAUGUGCAUCAAUUCGACGCAACGCGAAGAACCUUACCCAGGCUUUAACUGCAGAUGACAUCCUACGAAAGUAGGCUUCCGCAAGGACAUCUGUAGAGGUGCUGCAUGGCUGCCAGCUCGUGUCGUGAGAUGUUGGGUUAAGUCCCGCAACGAGCGCAACCCUUGUCUACCCGCCAUCGGGUUACCGGGCACUCUGAAAACUGCCGGUGACAAACCGGAGGAAGGUGGGGAUGACGUCAAGUCAGCAUGGCCUUUAUGUCUGGGGCCACACACGUGCUACAAUGGCCGGUACUAACCGUCGCGAGCCCGCAAGGGGGAGCUAAUCUAAAAGCCGGUCUCAGUUCGGAUUGUAGGCUGCAACUCGCCUGCAUGAAGUCCAUCGCUAGUAAUCGCGGAUCAGCACGCCGCGGUGAAUACGUUCUGGUUCAUACACACCGCCCGUCACAUCACGAAAGCCGGCUGUACUAGAAGUCGCAGCCAACCCGUAGGCAGGCGCCUAAGGUAUACGGUGA